rnacentral:rRNA from 1 species
UACGAAGGGGGCUAGCGUUGCUCGGAAUCACUGGGCGUAAAGGGUGCGUAGGUGGGUCUGUAAGUCAGUGGUGAAAGCCCCGAGCUCAACUUGGGAACUGCCCAUUGAUACUGCUGAUCUUGAGUAUGGUUGAGGUGGGCGGAAUGUUGCGUGUAGCGGUGAAUGACUUAGAUAUGCAACAGAACACCGAUUGCGAAGGCAGCUCACUAAACCAUUACUGACACUGAGGCACGAAAGCGUGGGGGAGCAAACAGG